GACAGAGGGGGCAAGCGUUGCUCGGAAUCACUGGGCGUAAAGGGCGCGUAGGCGGGAUGGCAAGUCAGUCGUGAAAUCUCUCGGCUCAACCGAGAAACGUCGGCUGAUACUGCCGUUCUUGAGGGAUGCAGAGGAGACUGGAAUUCCCGGUGUAGCGGUGAAAUGCGUAGAUAUCGAGAGGAACACCUGCGGCGAAGGCGGGUUGCUGGGCCGACACUGACGCUGAUGCGCGAAAGCCAGGGGAGCAAACGGG
rnacentral:rRNA from 1 species